GACGAACGCUGGCGGCGUGCCUAAUACAUGCAAGUCGAGCGAAGUUUUUCUGGUGCUUGCACUAGAAAAACUUAGCGGCGAACGGGUGAGGAACACGUAAAGAACCUGCCUCAUAGACUGGGACAACUAUUGGAAACGAUAGCUAAUACCGGAUAACAGUAUUUCUCGCAUGGGAGAUAUUUAAAAGUUGGUUAUGCUAACACUAUGAGAUGGGUUCGCGGUGCAUUAGCUAGUUGGUGGGGUAAAGGCCCACCAAGGCGACGAUGCAUAGCUGACCUGAGAGGAUGAGCAGCCACACUGGGACUGAGACCCGGCCCAGACUCCUACGGGAGGCAGCAGUGUGGAAUAUUGGACAAUGGGCGAAAGCCUGAUCCAGCAAUGCCGCGUGAGUGAUGAAGGCCUUAGGGUUGUAAAGCUCUUUUACCCGGGAUGAUAAUGACAGUACCGGGAGAAUAAGCUCCGGCUAACUCCGUG
rnacentral:rRNA from 1 species